GAUGAAGAACGUAGCGAAAUGCGAUACUUGGUGUGAAUUGCAGAAUCCCGUGAACCAUCGAGUCUUUGAACGCAAGUUGCGCCUCAAGCCAUUAGGUUGAGGGCACGUCUGCCUGGGCGUCACAUAUCGUUGCCUGAUGCCAGUUUCCUCGUGAUGGGUGACUGUGCAGGGCGAAUGAUGGCUUCCCGUGAGCAUUGUUGCCUCAUGGUUGGUUGAAAAUUGAGUCCUUGGUAGGGAGCGCCGUGAUAGAUGGUGGUUGAGUGACGAACGAGACCCAAUCAUGUGAGACCCCUACCGAAUUUGGCCUUCAUGACCCACAUGCGUCUUUGGAACGCUCAUGACGAGACCUCAGGUCAGGUGGGGCUACCCGCUGAGUUUAAGCAUAUCAAUAAGCGGAGGA
rnacentral:misc_RNA from 1 species